AAUGGAAAAUAUACUUUAAAAACAAUAUUGCAGUGCAUUGGACUCCACACAGCAGUGGAUCCAGCACCUUUUCUACAGUUUCUGACCCCGGACUAUGACCUUUGACCUUCUGAGUGACGGUUUCACUGUAAUUUGUGGACACACGUCCCCAGCAGGUGCGAGACGCACUCAGUCGCCGGUGGGAGGAACGGCCAAACGCAGCUGUUCCCGUGACCUUUCCGUGUUAUUAACACCGCCCCAAUGCGCAGAUGGAUUGAGACAAACCCAGCACACCUGUGUUCCCGACCAGGGGAAGCAGGAGUGGAGCCGCUGGUUGCAUCGUGCUUAGAACUGCUGCCCUUGGAGCCAAUGGCUACAGGUUCGAGUCUCACCUCCAGUUACGAUACUCUUGAGCAAGCGGCUCAAGUGUCACCAGGGCUCCAGAACGAAGACGGUUGCAGGACCAGCCGGACAGGUUGAGAUAACGCCACUGGGCGACGCCCCCUGCGGUGACGGUGACGCUUGGCCAAACGUAACGGACAGCAGCAGCAGCCCGAUGACAGGCCUCUGGCAACUGGCUGCACAGUAAAUCAUCCCCAAUCCCAUCAUCCCUCACUUAAGGGCUGUGGAGGAUUCGCUCCGUCAGGGAAGUGAGACGGAAGCCGCAGCCUCACAUCACCCAGGUGGAACACCUGACCGCAAGUUCACUCACCGCAGUAAACCGUGACCGUCGCUCGCAGUAAAACAGCGCCGUUCCGUUUCUCAGCAGACACCUUCAUCCAUGGUGCUUUUCAGAGCUGACGGCUCCACUCCUCCCCUUUACGAAGGUGGACGGUUUGAUGGAAACACUUUUCUUUGCCUGGCUGAGGGACACUGCAGCUCUCUGGGACUCAAAGUGACCUCAUGUCCAGGUGCUUAACUAGUACCUAACUGCUAUACCAUUGGUUUCUGUGUGAAGUUCCUCCAAAGAAAAUUUACUCUUAUUGCAGCUUUUCUUUACUCUCGCUGUACUCUGCCUGUACUCUCAGGGAUCUCUAAAUACUGCUUUACUAUCAGUACUGUUACUGUACUCUACUUUUACCACAUUGUC